CGCUUCCCAUCUCUGACUUCAAGACCUGGACGCUUUCAAGUUUCCUAUUCGUUUAAAACAUCCAUUAGUUAAAAAGGCUGCUCAUCUUCAAGUCAGCAGUGCAAAAUUUGCAAUUAAUUUUGGCAACCCAAAGUCAAGAGCUUGAUAUUACCAGAAAACUUGCAUCUCACUAUGGAUAAGAGUUGGAUAAACUUAGGCAACAGA